UAAGCCAUGCAAGUCAAGCGUCUCCAAGCUAUGUUGGAGAUGCGGCGUACGGCUCAGCAACACGUGGUUAAUCUACCCUUGGGACGGGAAUAACUCCGGGAAACUGGAGCUAAUACCCGAUGGGCGGGAACGCCUGGAAUGGUCUCCCGCUGAAAUGGCGUUGAAAACAUGCUUUCAACGUUGCCCAAGGAUGAGACCGCGGCCGAUCAGGUUGUUGGUGAGGUAACGGCUCACCAAGCCUAUAACCGGUACGGGCCCUGAGAGGGGGAGCCCGGAGAUGGAACCUGAGACAAGGUUCCAGGUCCUACGGGACGCAGCAGGCGCGAAACCUCCACAAUGCACGAAAGUGCGAUGGGGUUAUCCCGAGUGCCGUCUGAUGAAGAUGGCUUUUCACUGGUGUAAUGAGCCAGUGGAAGAAGGGGAGGGCAAGACUGGUGUCAGCCGCCGCGGUAAUACCAGCUCCCCGAGUGGUGGGGACGAUUAUUGGGCCUAAAGCGUUCGUAGCCGGCUUAACAAGUCUUCCGUUAAAUCUGGCGACCCAAUCGUCAGGCUGCGGGGGAUACUAUUAGGCUAGGGGGCGGGAGAGGUCGACGGUAUUCUCGGGGUAGGGGUGAAAUCCUAAGAUCCUGAGAGGACCACCAGUGGCGAAGGCGGUCGACCAGAACGCGCCCGACGGUGAGGGACGAAAGCUGGGGUAGCGAACCGGAUUAGAUACCCGGGUAGUCCCAGCCGUAAACGAUGCAGGCUAGGUGUUGGAGCGGCUACGAGCCGCUUCAGUGCCGCAGGGAAGCUAUUAAGCCUGCCGCCUGGGGAGUACGGUCGCAAGACUGAAACUUAAAGGAAUUGGCGGGGAGCACCACAAGGGGUGAAGGCUGCGGUUCA
rnacentral:rRNA from 1 species